rnacentral:rRNA from 1 species
GACGAACGCUGGCGGCGUGCUUAACACAUGCAAGUCGAACGAUGAAGCGGGUGCUUGCACUCGUGGAUUAGUGGCGAACGGGCGAGUAACACGUGAGUAACCUGUCCUUUUCUUUGGGAUAACGGCUGGAAACGGCUGCUAAUACUGGAUAUUCAGGCUGCAUCGCAUGGUGUGGUUUGGAAAGGUUUUUUCUGGGAUUGGGUGGGCUCGCGGCCUAUCAGCUUGUUGGUGGGGUGAUGGCUUACCAAGGCUUUGACGGGUAGCCGGCCUGAGAGGGUGGUCGGUCGCACUGGGACUGAGAUACGGCCCAGACUCCUACGGGAGGCAGCAGUGGGGAAGAUUGCACAAUGGACGAAAGUUUGAUGCAGCGACGCCGCGUGGAGGGUGUAGGCCUUCGGGUUGUGAACUCCUUUUUCUCGCGAAAAAGGCACAGUUUUGGCUGUGUUGAUGGUAGUGGGGGAAGAAGCGCCGGCUAACUACGUG